UUGCGUAGGUGGUUUGUUAAGUGAAUAGUGAAAUCUGGGGGCUCAACCUCGCAGACUAUUAUUCAAACUGGCAAACUCGAGAAUAACAGAGGUAACUGGAAUUUCUAGUGUAGGAGUGAAAUCCGUAGAUAUUAGAAGGAACACCAAUGGCGUAGGCAGGUUACUGGGUUAUUUCUGACACUGAGGCACGAAAGCGUGGGGAGCGAAC
rnacentral:rRNA from 1 species